GAUGAACGCUGGCGGCGUGCCUAAUACAUGCAAGUCGAGCGAACGGACGAGAAGCUUGCUUCUCUGAUGUUAGCGGCGGACGGGUGAGUAACACGUAGAUAACCUACCUAUAAGACUGGGAUAACUUCGGGAAACCGGAGCUAAUACCGGAUAAUAUUUUGAACCGCAUGGUUCAAAAGUGAAAGACGGUCUUGCUGUCACUUAUAGAUGGAUCCGCGCUGCAUUAGCUAGUUGGUAAGGUAACGGCUUACCAAGGCAACGAUGCAUAGCCGACCUGAGAGGGUGAUCGGCCACACUGGAACUGAGACACGGUCCAGACUCCUACGGGAGGCAGCAGUAGGGAAUCUUCCGCAAUGGGCGAAAGCCUGACGGAGCAACGCCGCGUGAGUGAUGAAGGUCUUCGGAUCGUAAAACUCUGUUAUUAGGGAAGAACAUAUGUGUAAGUAACUGUGCACAUCUUGACGGUACCUAAUCAGAAAGCCACGGCUAACUACGUGCCAGCAGCCGCGGUAAUACGUAGGUGGCAAGCGUUAUCCGGAAUUAUUGGGCGUAAAGCGCGCGUAGGCGGUUUUUUAAGUCUGAUGUGAAAGCCCACGGCUCAACCGUGGAGGGUCAUUGGAAACUGGAAAACUUGAGUGCAGAAGAGGAAAGUGGAAUUCCAUGUGUAGCGGUGAAAUGCGCAGAGAUAUGGAGGAACACCAGUGGCGAAGGCGACUUUCUGGUCUGUAACUGACGCUGAUGUGCGAAAGCGUGGGGAUCAAACAGGAUUAGAUACCCUGGUAGUCCACGCCGUAAACGAUGAGUGCUAAGUGUUAGGGGGUUUCCGCCCCUUAGUGCUGCAGCUAACGCAUUAAGCACUCCGCCUGGGGAGUACGACCGCAAGGUUGAAACUCAAAGGAAUUGACGGGGACCCGCACAAGCGGUGGAGCAUGUGGUUUAAUUCGAAGCAACGCGAAGAACCUUACCAAAUCUUGACAUCCUUUGACAACUCUAGAGAUAGAGCUUUCCCCUUCGGGGGACAAAGUGACAGGUGGUGCAUGGUUGUCGUCAGCUCGUGUCGUGAGAUGUUGGGUUAAGUCCCGCAACGAGCGCAACCCUUAAGCUUAGUUGCCAUCAUUAAGUUGGGCACUCUAAGUUGACUGCCGGUGACAAACCGGAGGAAGGUGGGGAUGACGUCAAAUCAUCAUGCCCCUUAUGAUUUGGGCUACACACGUGCUACAAUGGACAAUACAAAGGGCAGCGAAACCGCGAGGUCAAGCAAAUCCCAUAAAGUUGUUCUCAGUUCGGAUUGUAGUCUGCAACUCGACUACAUGAAGCUGGAAUCGCUAGUAAUCGUAGAUCAGCAUGCUACGGUGAAUACGUUCCCGGGUCU
rnacentral:rRNA from 1 species